rnacentral:rRNA from 1 species
UAAAUGACUCUCGGCAACGGAUAUCUCGGCUCACGCAUCGAUGAAGAACGUAGCAAAAUGCGAUACUUGGUGUGAAUUGCAGAAUCCCGUGAACCAUCGAGUUUUUGAACGCAAGUUGCGCCCGAAGCCUUUUGGCCGAGGGCACGUCUGCCUGGGCGUCACAC